GCCUCAACCUUAUCGUCUUCUUCCAUGUGAAGCACUGCCACACACCUCCAUCUCCACCGCUAUUCUCUCCUCUUCCUCUCCAAUUCCCUCUGCUUUUUAGCGAAGUUACAAGUUCCGUUCUUCACUGAAUCUAACAAACACCUUCGUCUUCAAACGUCUGCCCUCACUUCGGCUUUACUUCGGUGGCUACUAGCUCAGAUACUUUGCCGCGAAAAGCUUGUGAAGAAAUGUCUUGCAACCAACCAAAUAAACUAUCACGUACAAAAGAACAAACUUUAAGAGAGCCUCCUUCUGUUAACAUCCAAGAAAAUGCCUCCAAUCAAAUUAGAACUUCAACAUGUUCUUCUAACAAAGCAAAACAACUCUACCCUCCUUUUUAUGCAUUUGAAAAAGGCUCAAUAUCCAACACUUGUAAGGCGCAACAAAAUGUCAUUCCUGAGGUCAUUUAUAUCUCCGGCUCAAUAUCCAACGCAUGUUCGGAACAACAAAAUCUCACUCCUAAAGUUGCUACAAAGAAAGGUUAUUUCACCAACAGAACAAAUUCCACAAAUGACUUCUAACUACUCAAGACAAAAGAUGAACCUGAAGCUUUUCUGAAAACUCUUAAUCUACACAAUGAUUGCGGAGGCCGAUAGUUCAAGAAACUCGGAUCCUCGACAGGCCUUCCAAUUUCUUGGUUCACACGUGCAUAUAGCAAGAAAUACCUAAGAAACAUCCAUAUUUUACUUCCUGCCAUUAUUUGAUAAUGCCAACUCAUUACCAAAUUGAUACAUUUGUAUCUUACAGGCAAAACACUUCUACAGCUAAAGCAAUUAAAGUUGAAACGACGUCAAGCCAGAGGUACCUUUGUUUUGUCUACUCUACAGUCGUACUGCACUGCCAAGGCAAUUGAAGAAAGAGGCUACAUUUUCCAUUUGAGAAAUCUAACCACUCCUCCACACAUUAUGCUCGUGUUGGGCCCGGGCAACGCCCGGCCUGCCUUUACUAGUAUAUAUAUAGAAGCGGAUUGGAAGCAGCUGGCCGUUGUCCUGCCAGCUUGCUGUCCAAGGGCUUUUUGGUCAUUCCGGUAGUACGUGUCAUAACGUAGCUUCAAGAUGAGAAAAGAAAGUGUGCAGUUUCAACUUCUUCUAUCUAAUUGUUUCUGCCAUAUCUUUAUCACCACCUUCGUUCCUGUCUUCGAUUUGAGCUUCUUUGUUAUCUCAGGAAAAUGACAACAUCCAGUUGAUUUGAAUUCUCUCUUUUCUUUCUCUGUUGCUUCAUCUUCCUCCCAUUCUCUCUGUGCUUUGUUCCACUUAUUUCAGGUAAUAUCUCCUUCAAAUUUCAUGUGAUUUGCCCUUAAUCUAUAAUUUCCUCCGGCUAGCCUUUGUGCUUGUGUUGAAUUCUGGUAAUUUAUAAGCUUAUUCUUGGUACCAAAUUAAUUGGUGUAGCUUCCAUAGUUUUCUCCUACCUUCCUAUUUAAUAAUAGAAUUAACAUGGAUUAUGAUUGACUCGCUAUUGAUCUCUCUGUACUAAUGCGUUUCUAAAUUCUCAAAGAACAUGAAAUUGGAAUGUUCGGACCCCAAUCUAGGUCACAGUUCAAACAAAUUCUCCAAGCUAGAAAGAUGCGCUUUUUCUUUUGCUUGUCAUACUGCCAGGCUUCUUUUCAAAUUCAUUGGGGUCAGGUCAACUAUAUGAAUUUAUUCAAGCCUGUCUAGGUGGAAUGUCUGUUACCAGAUUAAUCGCAUCUUACAUUGUUGGAUAUAGGUAACAACUUGGAAUCUAUGAAGUAUGUGAUGGGGCUAAUCAGAAUACCAGUCGAAUGCAGUAAAUAUAUAUAGGACAUGAUUAAUUCGUAACUUCUAGUCACCUUACUUUGUAAAAUCCUCGUAUGCAGAGAGAGUAUUUAGAUAUUUAUUUUUUGUAGUGUAACUUGGAAAAUUGCAUUGAUAUAUUUAACAGAAACAAAAUAUGAACAUUUGAUAAUUUUAAAAACAUGUGACAGUUUGGCCGAGUGGUCUAAAGCGCCAGAUUUAGGCUCUGGUCCGAAAGGAUCCCACAGCUGCCAUUUUUCUUUAUCACUUUAUCCCAUCAAAUUUGAGAUUAUUUUAUCCCAUCUUUUAAGUGGGAUAAAUUAGUUCAGAGAUCAUAUCUUAGAAUAAUUUAAUCCUUAUAUCCAAUU